UAAUCUUUAAAGGUACAUGGUAUUAAUUUGAACUUAUGAUUUCUUGCGCUAGGUCACAAUACUUUAUUUCAGUUUUCUUGGCAGAGGUUAAGGAGUUACAAACCAAAAGCAGCAGAAAAAAUAUAAAUCAUAUUAGAAAUGAAUAGGGUAAAGCAAGAAUUGAAGUGAGAGAUGAGGUUACCAUAAGGGUAAAACCGGUGAUACUAGCCCAUGAAUCAGCAAGGGUGGCGCCUGCGAGCUCACGGUUUCCGAGGCGACCAGCGAACAUGACAGAUACCAGAGUUAUUGAGCAAUAGAAAACACUUGUGAGGGUCAUUGGGAGAGAAAACAACAUCUGGUUCUUGGCCUCUUCCACAUCCAACACAUUCUUCCACCAUCUUCUCCUUCUCCUAGUUUCUUCUCCUUUGCUACUAGCUUCUAACAAGGGUUUUGCGUCUAAAUUACUUUUCAUUGUCGACAUUAUUUUUAUCUUCUCUUCGAUCAUUUAGUGUACAAUAUUUGUAUAGCUGAGCAGCCUCCGUUUCUAAGGCGAUAACUCUU
rnacentral:misc_RNA from 1 species